AACGCUAGCUACAGGCUUAACACAUGCAAGUCGCGGGGCAGCAUGAAUUUAGCUUGCUAAAUUUGAUGGCGACCGGCGCACGGGUGAGUAACGCGUAUCCAACCUUCCCCUGUCCACGGGAUAGCCCGUCGAAAGGCGGAUUAAUACCGUAUGAGGUCACAUGACGGCAUCAGAGUGUGACGAAAGGUUUUGCGGACAGGGAUGGGGAUGCGUCCGAUUAGCUUGUUGGCGGGGUAACGGCCCACCAAGGCAACGAUCGGUAGGGGUUCUGAGAGGAAGGUCCCCCACAUUGGAACUGAGACACGGUCCAAACUCCUACGGGAGGCAGCAGUGAGGAAUAUUGGUCAAUGGGCGAGAGCCUGAACCAGCCAAGUAGCGUGCAGGACGACGGCCCUAUGGGUUGUAAACUGCUUUUAUGCGGGGAUAACGUGCACCACGUGUGGUGUAUUGCAGGUACCGCAUGAAUAAGGACCGGCUAAUUCCGUGCCAGCAGCCGCGGUAAUACGGAAGGUCCGGGCGUUAUCCGGAUUUAUUGGGUUUAAAGGGAGCGUAGGCCGCUGUUUAAGCGUGUUGUGAAAAACCGGGGCUCAACUCCGGUCGUGCAGCGCGAACUGGACGGCUUGAGUGCGCGGUAAGUGGGCGGAAUUUGUGGUGUAGCGGUGAAAUGCUUAGAUAUCACGAAGAACUCCGAUUG
rnacentral:rRNA from 1 species